CCUACGGGAGGCAGCAGUAGGGAAUCUUCCGCAAUGGACGAAAGUCUGACGGAGCAACGCCGCGUGAACGAUGAAGGCCUUCGGGUCGUAAAGUUCUGUUGUUAGGGAAGAACAAGUGCUAGUUGAAUAAGCUGGCACCUUGACGGUACCUAACCAGAAAGCCACGGCUAACUACGUGCCAGCAGCCGCGGUAAUACGUAGGUGGCAAGCGUUGUCCGGAAUUAUUGGGCGUAAAGCGCGCGCAGGCGGUUUCUUAAGUCUGAUGUGAAAGCCCCCGGCUCAACCGGGGAGGGUCAUUGGAAACUGGGAAACUUGAGUGCAGAAGAGGAAAGUGGAAUUCCAAGUGUAGCGGUGAAAUGCGUAGAGAUUUGGAGGAACACCAGUGGCGAAGGCGACUUUCUGGUCUGUAACUGACGCUGAGGCGCGGAAGCGUGGGGAGCAAACAGGAUUAGAUACCCUGGUAGUCCACGCUGUAAACGAUGAGUGCUAAGUGUUAGAGGGUUUCCGCCCUUUAGUGCUGAAGUUAACGCAUUAAGCACUCCGCCUGGGGAUACGGUCGCAAGACUGAAACUCAAAUGAAUUGACGG
rnacentral:rRNA from 1 species